rnacentral:lncRNA from 1 species
UGAGGAAUACUGCUGCUGCAGACUUCUCUAGGGAAAGGAUUCUGGCACACAGAGCUGUCUCUCUCUCUCCUGGGUUAAUUCUGGCCAAACUCAGCACAGCAGCACAAUGUGUGGGCUUUUCAACCAAUAUGUAGAUUCACUACAGAAUCUGCUUUUGAAUAAAUGCUGAGCACUCCUACAGGUACCAAGUACUGCAUUCACCUGAAAUAAUGCAUUUUAAGGUCUUCUGGUAAAGGAGGAAGUCACCAGUGUCAAAAACCUCCACUGCACUGAACACAAGACAAUAUUUCAAUGUAUG